GACGAACGCUGGCGGCGUGCUUAACACAUGCAAGUCGAGCGGUAAGGCCCUUUCGGGGGUACACGAGCGGCGAACGGGUGAGUAACACGUGGGUGACCUGCCCUCAGCUCUGGGAUAAGCCUGGGAAACUGGGUCUAAUACUGGAUAUGACUCCACGGUGCAUGUCGUGGGGUGGAAAGCCUUGUGCGGCUGAGGAUGGGCCCGCGGCCUAUCAGCUUGUUGGUGGGGUGAUGGCCUACCAAGGCGACGACGGGUAGCCGGCCUGAGAAGGCGACCGGCCACACUGGGACUGAGACACGGCCCAGACUCCUACGGGAGGCAGCAGUGGGGAAUCUUGCGCAAUGGGCGAAAGCCUGACGCAGCGACGCCGCGUGAGGGAUGACGGCCU
rnacentral:rRNA from 1 species